UACGUAGGUGGCAAGCGUUGUCCGGAUUUACUGGGCGUAAAGAGCGCGCAGGCGGUCAACCAAGUCGCGUGUGAAAGCCCCCGGCUCAACUGGGGAGGGUCACGCGAUACUGAUCGACUCGAAGGCAGGAGAGGGUAGUGGAAUUCCCGGUGUAGUGGUGAAAUGCGUAGAUAUCGGGAGGAACACCAGUGGCGAAGGCGGCAUUCUGGACUGCAACUGACACUGAGGAACGAAAGCCAGGGGAGCAAACGGG
rnacentral:rRNA from 1 species